GUAGUCCACGCCAUAAACGAUGACAACUAGAUGUCGGGAGGGUUAGCCUCUUGGUGUCGCAGCUAACGCGUUAAGUUGUCCGCCUGGGGAGUACGGCCGCAAGGUUGAAACUCAAAUGAAUUGACGGGGACCCGCACAAGCGGUGGAGCAUGUGGUUCAAUUCGAUGCAACGCGAAGAACCUUACCUGGCCUUGACAUGUCCGGAAGAUCCCAGAGAUGGGGUUGUGCCCGAAAGGGAACCGGAACACAGGUGCUGCAUGGCUGUCGUCAGCUCGUGUCGUGAGAUGUUGGGUUAAGUCCCGCAACGAGCGCAACCCUUGUCUUUAGUUGCCAGCACUUCGGGUGGGCACUCUAAAGAGACCGCCGGUGACAAACCGGA
rnacentral:rRNA from 1 species